AGAGCGCUCAGCCGUCGAUUUAGCGCGUCUAGUCUAGAUGCAAUAAAAUUGACCCCCACUGGAUCGAUCGGUGCCCACGAUCCUGCAGGUAGUAUAGACAAGCCCUUAGAUAUAGGCAAACGUGUUAGCUUCAACGAGAGGCUGCAUAGCCAUGGUGGGGAGUGAGGAAAGUCACAGAGGCAAAUAUCAAUCUUGAUUUCUGUAUGAAUCUGGCCGGCCAGCCAGCCAGGAGAAUACAUUCAUUUUGUAGAACUCUGUAGUAUUCAGGUCUGGAACUAUUGAUUUUUGACUCUGCCGUAGAUUUACACAAUAAUGAGGUUAAAUUUUUUUUUUUUUUUAAAGGCAGCUGAAGCAAGGACUCUCUCAGCAAAAUGGUACACCUAGGUCACUAUGCAUUAUGGCAGAGUACACCAAAGGAUUUUACCAGGAGACUAUUCAGAAACCAAAAUGGUAGGGGCAGGCAAGCAAGGUGACAUGAAUAGAACAGCAAAAGUACCUUCCCAGAAUUGUUCUCAUGUGAUUUAUUUCUUGACAUGCAAUAGGCUUAAAGCACUGACUGCAAACACUGCUGUCACUUCUAAAACACUAUAUAUUCUUGCUGUAAGUCAGCAUUUGUUUGCAUUGUCAACUGGGAGAGAGGUGAAGGGUUGGUUUACUGGGCUGUACACACUAGCUAGCUUUUAGAAUCAGAACAGUUUUAUCAUAUGAUUGAAGUACCCGCAGAGAUGCUUGCUACCUGACAACCAGUAGCUUGCAUCUAUUUAAAAAGGUCACAGUGCCUUCUUACUACUUUUAUUACAUUUAAGUGAGAACAGAGUUGAGCGAGCAUGGAGAAUGGCACAUUUACAAUCGAGAUGUCAGUUGAAAUUUUCCCAAGCAAACUCUAAUGAGGGACUUUUACUUUGGCAGAAUAAGACUGUUCCUGGCAGCAACUCAGUGCACUGGAGGAAGGGCUACAUCCAUGUAUCAAGUUUGGGUAUUCUAUUUUCAACCGAUAUUUGAGUGUUGCUCAAUGAUGCCCAGUUUUCCAUUGAUCCAGAUUCAGCAAUGCACUUCCCCCACUGCCUUCAUCCAUGACACUGAACAGUGAUCUGAAGCAGACACCUGGAGUGGGGGGUGAAGAGUAGUGCCAUUGCCUUGGCUCAUUUAAUACUUGCUCCCCCCCAGGAGACAAAUAGGCUAUCAAUGGUGAUGAUGGAUAGCAGCUGGAACAAGACCAGUAGCUUAGGACAAACCAUCAUUUGACCACUCCUAGAUUUAAACCACACCCUAGAAUAAAUAUUGCACCUGGAGAGUUAAACCACUAAGGAAAUAGAUAAAUCCUUUAUUAGGUAAAGUUGAUUUACACAACAAUGGCAUUUUAUUUGGGCUCAACUCUUUAUUUGGUGUUUAUCUAUUUUUUCAUUGGGCUACACAGGGACUGGGACAUCAGGACGUUACUGAAAGAGGGAAAAGCAGCAAGGUGCUUUAUUUUUCCUUUCGCAUCACAAAAAUCUUACCUUCCUUCUGGAAGAGGACAAACAUGAAUAUUUUGCAGCCAAUCAACUGAUACGCUGAGCACAUAAGACACUGCAGUCUCUCCAGUGAUUUACGCAGAUCUGUUAUGAACACAUCUUUCUACAACCUAUUAUGAGGAUUUAAAAGCGUUUGAACUAAAUUCUACAAAAGGACUAAUUACAUGCGCUCAAGUUUAUCUGAGGACCUCUGAUGACACAGCGUAAAGAAAAACAAACCUCAACUUGGUUUAGUUUGUGUCACCAAAACCCCAAGUUAAAACAUAAUUCAAUAACAGACACUUUGGAAUUUACAUGGUAAUAAUAUAUAGAAACAGGACACUGGAGCAACAUAGCUGGUUUCAAAUAUGAAUUCUCAUGCUUUUAAGAACCAGUUUUAAGUAUGACUUUUGAAAUACAUGUACAGGAAUGAUACUGGUAUUGCAGAUAUGGUAUUUCUAUUUUUUAAUAUAUCACUUUUAAAAAAAGACAAGUCCACAAAAUUUGAUACCUGAUAAAGCUAGAAAAUGUCUCCACGUGUUAGCUGGCAACAGAAAAACUGAAAAGAUGUCAAGAAUGUGAAAAUGUCUAUAUGAGAUUAACAUUUCCCUAGCAAGAGAAUAAUUUGUAUUAAAAAUUCCUAAGAAGUUAUAUAAAAUUUGGCAAUGCCAAGAGCUACGUAAUCAACCAAUGUUUCAUUAGAAACGCCACCAAAUCAGAUGUCAAACACAUGACUUUAUUUGUCUAGGAUGUAAUGUCCUAUUACGUACAAAAAAAGUACUCUUCAGUUUGCCACAACUGUUAAAAACAUAGCAAUCUAUUGGCUACAGGUAAGAAAGUUCUUUUCGCAUUCAGUUUCAAAUGACAUCAUAUAUAUUUAUAUAUGAAUAAAUAGUACAGAAAUACUAUGAAGUUGGGAAGAGAUGCAGAAUAUUUUCAGAACUCAUUAAAUUGAGAAUUUUCCUUCUUGCAUCAAACACAAUGCAUACAAUAUGUAGCAUUUCUUUUAAGAAGUCAAAGGACAACAUAACCUAAAUGCAACUACUCUUCUCAUAAUAUUUUUAAGAAGCAUAAACUGAUUUUGUUUUCACAUUGAACAAUUCAUUUUUAGUUUUCACAUAUAGGUUAAGUGACAGUAUCUGUACAAAAAUGUAUGGGUUUUAUUAGAUAAAAUUAACCCAGAAGAACCUGUACACCUGAGCAUGUAAUUGUAAGAAAACUGUGGUCAGUAGCAAUGUCUUAUUUCUAAGAAAUUAACAGGAAAGUUUCUUGCAUAGCAGGGUGAGGUUAAACCCAAGGGAAGCUUAUCCAUAAACCAGGUAAAUCCCAGAUCACUGUAGGACAAAGCUAAUUGUGAAUUAGUGCAAAAUCUAGCAAAAUGGUUGUAGAGCUGCAUAAACCAGCCUUGGCUGAUUUACUGGAGGCAGUUAAUAUAACAAAGUCAGUUACAUAAGCAAUGUGCAAGUGAUAGAUCAGAGAGAGGAGAAGGAAAAAAAAGUCUGCAAGUCACAUCUCCCUCUGUUGGCUUCCAUUUAUCCCUCAUGCUAGCUUUCCUUGUAUAGGAAGAGACAAAACCACUGAGAAUGCCCUUUAGAGAUAGAAUUACAAACAUGUGGUACUUCAUUCCUGGAUGAUAUUUUGCCUUCUUUCUAAUUCAGAAGUGGGCAACGAAAUUUCACAAUACUGCCUUUAUUAUCUGAUGCAGCAAUUAUGGCACCACAGUAGAAUUGGUUUUUAAAGGGAUAGUAGUUGCUUAAUGAAACGAAAGAAACGCUUUCCCUUUCUACCUUUCUUACCUUUUCCUCCCCUACUACUUGGGAUACUUCCAAUUCCAAACACACACCCCUCAAAAACUUUACAAACAUAUUAGCGCACAUUCAAAGACAGCUACAUCUGUGGGGAGAAAAAUUAUCUCCAUUUAUUUUGUUUCAUUAUACAUCCAUGUUUUGAAUUUUAA